rnacentral:misc_RNA from 1 species
GUGAAUCAUCAAAUUUUUGAACGCAUAUUGCACUCUCUGGUAUUCCGGAGAGUAUGCCUGUUUGAGGAUAAUUAAAAAGAAUCUUUAACCAAUUUUUUUUGGUCAAAGGAAAUGAGCUCUCCGCGUUUAUAGCGGUAGCUUGAAAUAAAUGGUCAAUCUCCUUUUUGGCGAGAAGCCUUAUAAUUUUAUUUC